rnacentral:rRNA from 1 species
UACGUAGGUGGCAAGCGUUGUCCGGAUUUACUGGGCGUAAAGGGCGUGCAGGCGGUUUGUUUAGUCUAGGGUGAAAGCUCCCGGCUUAACUGGGAGAGGUCCUUGGAUACUGGCAAACUUGAGGGAGGCAGAGGAAAGUGGAAUUCCCGGUGUAGUGGUGAUAUGCGUAGAUAUCGGGAGGAACACCAGUGGCGAAGGCGGCCUUCUGGACAGCAACUGACGCUGAGACGCGAAAGCUAGGGGAGCAAACGGG